AGUUGGGGACUCUAAAGGAACCGCCGGUGAUAAGCCGGAGGAAGGUGGGGAUGACGUCAAGUCCUCAUGGCCCUUACGCGCUGGGCUACACACGUGCUACAAUGGCAACUACAGUGGGCAGCAAUCCUGCAAGGGUGAGCUAAUCUCCAAAAGUUGUCUCAGUUCGGAUUGUUCUCUGCAACUCGAGAGCAUGAAGGCGGAAUCGCUAGUAAUCGCGGAUCAGCAUGCCGCGGUGAAUACGUUCCCAGGCCUUGUACACACCGCCCGUCACACCAUGGGAGUUGGGUUCACCCGAAGGCGUUGCGCUAACUCGCAAGAGAGGCAGGCGACCACGGUGGGCUUAGCGACUGGGGUGAAGUCGUAACAAGGUAGCCGUAGGGGAACCUGCGGCUGGAUCACCUCCUUUCU
rnacentral:rRNA from 1 species